rnacentral:rRNA from 1 species
CCUACGGGAGGCUGCAGUGAGGAAUAUUGGUCAAUGGACGAGAGUCUGAACCAGCCAAGUAGCGUGAAGGAUGACUGCCCUAUGGGUUGUAAACUUCUUUUAUAUGGGAAUAAAGUGUUCCACGUGUGGGAUUUUGUAUGUACCAUAUGAAUAAGGAUCGGCUAACUCCGUGCCAGCAGCCGCGGUAAUACGGAGGAUCCGAGCGUUAUCCGGAUUUAUUGGGUUUAAAGGGAGCGUAGGUGGAUUGUUAAGUCAGUUGUGAAAGUUUGCGGCUCAACCGUAAAAUUGCAGUUGAAACUGGCAGUCUUGAGUACAGUAGAGGUGGGCGGAAUUCGUGGUGUAGCGGUGAAAUGCUUAGAUAUCACGAAGAACUCCGAUUGCGAAGGCAGUUCACUGGACUGCAACUGACACUGAGGCUCGAAAGUGUGGGUAUCAAACAGGAUUAGAUACCCGAGUAGUC